ACGCUGCGUGGCGUCUGCUGGUAGCAGAGAAAGCUCAUCGCUCGCUGCCAAUUGUUGCCAUUGUUUGUGCAUCGAGGCGCAUUUAUGUUCAACAUUACCACAAAAAGCAAACCAUCAAUGACAACUAGUUGAGCCUCUGCGGCGUCAGAUGUCGAGUAAACUGAAAGGCAAUUCGUAGCAGAGCACAAAAUAGGAUGCAAACUGUGUGAGGGUGAGGGUGUGUAUAAUGGAGUAAUUUCAAAUGUAUUGGAAAUGCUUGUGGCGGUAGGUAAUUUUUUACUCAAACGCCGAGAGCAACGAUAUGCAUACGCGCUACAAAAGGAUUCACAACAAAGUGCUAACUAGUAGACAUACCCCGCCGGCAAUUUUAAUGACGUCCGAGUCGGAAUCAAGUUUUCUUAGCCCUCAACUGACUACGUGGCAGAUUGCCUCCUGUGAGACGUAUGUAUCCUGACCGCCCAACAAAGAAAAAAUUAAAAUGAGUGUGCCCGUUCCCCGCUGCAGAUGAGAUAUUCCCUUGAACUAUUUACUAAUCGUUGCAUAAUCCGGAUUUUGCAAAUUUAUUUUUGGAUUGUCUACAAACAAAACCUGACAAGAGAUGACGGAAAUCCGUUCCAAAAUCAAUCAGAAAUAAAAGUUGUUUAACAUAAUAGUAAAAAAUUAUUCAAAGUUCAAAA